rnacentral:rRNA from 1 species
UGAGGAAUAUUGGUCAAUGGGAGCAAUCCUGAACCAGCAAUGCCGCGUGUGGGAUGAAGGCGCUUCGCGUCGUAAACCACUGUCGGACGGGACGAAAGGAGCUAUGAAGCUCUAGGACGGUACCGUCAAAGGAAGGAUCGGCUAACUACGUGCCAGCAGCCGCGGUAAUACGUAGGAUCCAAGCGUUGUCCGGAUUUACUGGGUAUAAAGGGUGCGUAGGCGGCCUUGUGCGUCAGAGGUGAAAUCUCCGGGCUUAACCCGGAGGGUGCCUUUGAUACGGCAGGGCUUGAGUGCGAGAGAGGAUGAUGGAAUUCCUGGUGUAGCGGUGAAAUGCGUAGAUAUCAGGAGGAACACCGGUGGCGAAGGCGGUCAUCUGGCUCGAAACUGACGCUGAGGCACGAAAGCGUGGGGAUCAAACAGG